rnacentral:miRNA from 1 species
GGAGCGGAGCCCAGCCCUGCGCUGGGCAGGUCUUGAGUCCAGGUGUGGCCUGAGUUGGGCAGGGCCUGUCGAUCUGC